rnacentral:rRNA from 1 species
AUACGGAGGGGGCUAGCGUUGUUCGGAAUUACUGGGCGUAAAGGGCACGUAGGCGGGUUCCUAAGUCGGGGGUGAAAUCCCGGGGCUCAACCCCGGAACUGCCCUCGAUACUGUGAGUCUCGAGGACGGGAGAGGCGAGUGGAAUUCCGAGUGUAGAGGUGAAAUUCGUAGAUAUUCGGAGGAACACCAGUGGCGAAGGCGGCUCGCUGGCCCGAUCCUGACGCUGAGGUGCGAAAGCGUGGGGAGCAAACAGGAUUAGAAACCCUAGUAGUCC